rnacentral:rRNA from 1 species
GGAUGAGCCCGCGGCCUAUCAGCUUGUUGGUGGGGUAAAGGCCUACCAAGGCGAUUACGGGUAGCCGGCCUGAGAGGGCGACCGGCCACACUGGGACUGAGACACGGCCCAGACUCCUGCGGGAGGCAGCAGUGGGGAAUCUUGCGCAAUGGGCGAAAGCCUGACGCAGCGACGCCGCGUGGGGGAUGACGGCCUUCGGGUUGUAAACUCCUUUUACCACUCACGCAGGCCCGGGGUUUUCUUCGGGUUGACGGUAGGUGGGGAAUAAGGACCGGCUAACUACGUGCCAGCAGCCGCGGUAAUACGUAGGGUCCGAGCGUUGUCCGGAAUUAUUGGGCGUAAAGAGCUCGUAGGCGGCGUGUCGCGUCUGCUGUGAAAGACCGGGGCUUAACUCCGGUUUUGCAGUGGAUACGGGCAUGCUAGAGGUAGGUAGGGGAGACUGGAAUUCCUGGUGUAGCGGUGGAAUGCGCAGAUAUCAGGAGGAACACCGGUGGCGAAGGCGGGUCUCUGGGCCUUACCUGACGCUGAGGAGCGAAAGCAUGGGGAGCGAACAGGAUUAGAUACCCUGGUAGUCCAUGCCGUAAACGAUGGGCGCUAGGUGUGGGGACUUUCCACGGUUUCCGCGCCGUAGCUAACGCAUUAAGCGCCCCGCCUGGGGAGUACGGCCGCAAGGCUAAAACUCAAAGGAAUUGACG